rnacentral:rRNA from 1 species
UACGUAGGGGGCAAGCGUUGUCCGGAUUUAUUGGGCGUAAAGAGCGUGUAGGCGGCCAGACAGGUCCGUUGUGAAAACUCGAGGCUCAACCUCGAGAUGUCGAUGGAAACCGUCUGGCUAGAGUCCGGAAGAGGAGAAUGGAAUUCCUGGUGUAGCGGUGAAAUGCGCAGAUAUCAGGAAGAACACCCGUGGCGAAGGCGGUUCUCUGGGACGGUACUGACGCUGAGACGCGAAAGCGUGGGGAGCGAACAGG